UGAAAGUUCACGCUUGCACCAACUGGGCCGGUCCAGUCCAGUCCGUUUCGUGGGCCAUCGACACGGUUCUCGUUUCGAGUCGGUCUCUCCCAAUCCCCCUGCCGAAGCGACUGCGCAUGAAACCGGCGGACACCUCAGGAUCGGGGCGGAUUCCAGCAAUUCGCCGGAGGGGCCGGUGGCCUGCAGAAAUGUUGAUAUACUAUGGGUAGAAGGCAUAUCCAAGAUGUACCUGGGGAUCUUGGAUCUUUGGGUCUGGGCCCUGAGCUCCCAGACUCUGCUGCACCUGCUUCUGCCAUGCAGCAGAAAGCAGACAUCGCAGAUGGAAAUCCAAGGAUUGCAACUAGUGGUUACAAGACAACACUCUGCAGCUGUUUUAACACUGCUGAAGUCUGUCAGUUUGGAAACUUUUGUCAUUUUGCUCAUGGGGAGGGUGAUAUGCUUCAACAGAAAAAGAGGCCUUAUGCCAAAAUUCCUUCUGGAAGCAGUGGAGGCUACUUCAAUUUCUAUUCAACUCCUCCAGGAAUUUUCUCAAGUUCUAAUCACAAGUUUAUGUUGAGCUUAGUUAACUCAGUGUAGCAGGUACCUCUGCCUGCCCUUUCUCUUACCCAUCUUGGCCAGGUUGUGAAAAUGUAUUAUUUUGCUAAUAAAAGGGUUGUUGGUCUGAUUGUGGUCAUCAUUUUAUGUAUUUGCAUAUCUCAAUUUGAAAUAAGAGCAAUUUAUAGGAUCA